rnacentral:rRNA from 1 species
AACGAACGCUGGCGGCAUGCCUAACACAUGCAAGUCGAACGAGACCUUCGGGUCUAGUGGCGCACGGGUGCGUAACGCGUGGGAACCUGCCCUUAGGUUCGGAACAACUCCCCGAAAGGGGUGCUAAUACCGGAUAAUGUCUUCGGACCAAAGAUUUAUCGCCUUUGGAUGGGCGCGCGUUGGAUUAGCUAGUUUGUAGUGUAAAAGCCUACCAAGGCGACGAUCCAUAGCUGGUCUGAGAGGAUGAUCAGCCACACUGGGACUAAGACACGGCCCAGACUCCUACGGGAGGCAGCAGUGGGGGAUAGUGGACAGUGGGCGAAGGCCUGAUCGAGCAAUGCCGCGUGAGUGAUGAGGUCAUGAGGGUUGUAGAGCUCUUUUACCCGAGAUGAUAAUGACAGUACCGGGAGAAUAAGCUCCGGCUAACUACGUG